rnacentral:tRNA from 1 species
UUUGGGUGUAGCUUAGUGGUGGAGUACUUGCCUAGCAUAUACAGUGCCCUGGGUUCAAUCCCCAGUAACACAAAA